rnacentral:rRNA from 1 species
CAGUCGCCGCGGGAAUACGAAGGGUGCAAGCGUUACUCGGAAUUACUGGGCGUAAAGGGCGCGUAGGCGGCACGAUUAGUCAGGCGUGAAAUUCCUGGGCUCGACCUGGGGACUGCGCUUGAUACGGUCGAGCUAGAGGAUGGAAGAGGGUUGUGGAAUUCCCAGUGUAGAGGUGAAGUUCGUAGAUAUUGGGAAGAACACCGGUGGCGAAGGCGGCAACCUGGUCCAUUACUGACGCUGAGGCGCGACAGCGUGGGGAGCAAACAGGAUUAGAUACCCCUGUAGUCCCUGUCUCUUAUAC